rnacentral:rRNA from 1 species
GAAUUUUGGACAAAGGGGCGAAACCCUAUUCAGCCAAUCCGCGGGUUGGGAAAAGGCCUUUUGGUUUGAAAGGCCUUUAAGCGGGGGAGGGGGGACUGUAGGUAAUUCCUAGGCAUCGUGGACGUUACUCGCAGAAUAAGCACCGGCUAACUCUGUGCAAGCAGCCGCGGUAAUAAAGAGGGUGCAAGCGUUAAUGGGAUUUACUGGGCGUAAAGCGCGCUUAGGUGGCCAAUUAAGUCAAAGUUGAAAUCCCCGAGCUUAACUUGUGAAUUGCAUUCGAUACUGGUUGGCUAGAGGAUGGGAGAGGAUGGUAGAAUUCCAGGUGUAGCGGUGAAAUGCGUAGAGAUCUGGAGGAAUACCGAUGGCGAAGGCAGCCAUCUGGCCUAAUACUGACACUGAGGUGCGAAAGCAUGGGGAGCAAAC